UACAGAGGUCUCAAGCGUUGUUCGGAUUCAUUGGGCGUAAAGGGUGCGUAGGCGGCGCGGUAAGUCGGGUGUGAAACCUCGGAGCUUAACUCCGAAACUGCAUUCGAUACUGCCGUGCUUGAGGACUGGAGAGGAGACUGGAAUUCACGGUGUAGCAGUGAAAUGCGUAGAUAUCGUGAGGAAGACCAGUGGCGAAGGCGGGGUCUCUGGACAGUUCCUGACACUGAGGCACGAAGGCCAGGGGGAGCAAACGGG
rnacentral:rRNA from 1 species